rnacentral:rRNA from 1 species
UACGAAGGGGGCUAGCGUUGUUCGGAAUCACUGGGCGUAAAGCGCACGUAGGCGGAUUGUUAAGUCGGGGGUGAAAUCCUGAGGCUCAACCUCAGAACUGCCUUCGAUACUGGCAAUCUCGAGUCCGGAAGAGGUUGGUGGAACAGCUAGUGUAGAGGUGAAAUUCGUAGAUAUUAGGAAGAACACCAGUGGCGAAGGCGGCUCACUGGUCCGGUACUGACGCUGAGGUGCGAAAGCGUGGGGAGCAAACAGG